CUCACGUUGAAGCCGCCACCCCAUCCCCUUCUCUCGCGUCGAAGCCGCCGCCCCCUCCCCUUCCCCUCGCGCCGCCGCCCCCUCCCCCUCCCCCUUCCCCUCGCCGCCGCCCUCGGAGAAGCACCGCGGCCGCUGCUGCUCCGCGUCGCCGCUGCUGCUUCGCGUCGCCGCUCCUCACCCACCCACCGCGGUCGCCGUCAAGGACAUGUCGCUCGCGCCGCCAACCCUAUCGAUCUCGCGCGUCACGCCUCGGGAGGAGAGGAAGCCCACGCUACAAUACCCGGCGGAGCACUCCCUCGCGCCGUCGACGGGAGGAGGCCAGGCGGAGUGCGCCGUCGUCGCCGCAGCCUGGAGUGCGCCGUCGUCGCCGCAACUCAUUCGCGCCUCCCCCACGUCUCCGACGAGCUCCAGCGAUGUCCCGGUGGCGGCCGAGGGGCGGGACGCAGCGGAUGGACGCGGCACUCGACCACUUCAACUUGAUGGCCUACCGCAAGGCCGACGUCCGCAACCUCUGUCAACAAGCUGCUCAAGGAUGUGUACGGGAGGGAUGGGUGGCCGUUCCUGGAGGACAGCUGGUACUCCGUCGUGCAGGAGGCGCUCUUUGAGAUGCAGGAGGAGCUCGCUGGCCUCGAUUCGUCCGGCGCAAUCCGGUGCGUCAAGAGGGCGUGCCGUCGGAUGCGCCGUUAGCUUCAGGCCAUGUAUCGACAUUGACAAGGGCAAAGUUAAACAGAUUGUUGGAUCUACUCUCCGGGAUGCAUCGAAUGAUGGCAUGACACGGGUGACAAAAGUCUCCAUCAGAAUUUGCAAAUAUUUACAAAGAAGAUGGACUGGUUGGUGGGCAUGUCAUAAUGCUUGGCGGAGACCCUGCAAGCUGCUAUGCUGCCCUGGAAGCACUCCUCUUCCUGCCUCACCACCUGUUCAGGAACCGUAUCAUAAGUGGUGCCUUCUUCCGCGAACAGUUGCGGUGCUCGCUGUCGGCGUCAGACUCCCAAGCAAGCGAGGAUGACCACGGCGCGGAGGAGGACGAGGACCCGAGCUCGAUUCCGACCACGACGUACCGCACAAGGUCCCUGCUUCCUUCCUGACGGCAAUGGAUCCCUUCCUUGCAGGUAACACUUCCCCUCUCCCUCCCACUGACUUGCUAAUCUAAUUUAGCCACAGGCUGCUACAAAUCACAUUGCUUGCUGCAUCUUACUUUGUUGCCUUGGAUUUUGUUGCCUGGGUUGCUGACGAGAUCCAUCUGCCCGGCUGGAGCCUGUUAUUCUCUUGAUGGAAGUCAGCCCAAUUGUAGAAGCUGAAGGUGUUACCAUUCAUGGACAUGGAACAGAAGCUGCCCAGAUAUUGUGACAACAAAUGGAGGUUAAAUCGGGAAGCGGAAGCCAGUUUGAAUAAGCUUGCGACUGGAGUGUAAAAUAAAUUACCUACACAAAAGAAGGGUUAAAUAAGGAUGAAGGUUCGGGUAUUUGGGUUGCUGAUACGCUGAAACUUCUGUUUUUAUUACUUUAUGAAGGUUCAAGUAUUUGGGUGGUUCCUCUACCUCUCGCGGAUCUCUUGUGCUCUGCUCGUUUCUUACUCUCUUUCUUGUUUCUCUGCUUGAUUUGCAGUUCAGACGGUGCCGUGUCGUUGGGGUUGCCUUGCCGGUCGACCGGAGAUGGAGCUUUAUCGUUUGAUCCUCUGCCCUCCCCGUCGAGGUUGCUCCUCACCAUCGCAGGCACGGUCUGGUCGGGGCCACGACGACGAGAGGAGCAGCAGAGGAUAACUUUUCCCCACGGAUCCUUCUCGUCUUCCACGUGAUUCGAGUCGCCUCUCUCCGUCAGAUCCUGCACGGACCUCCCUGUCAGGCCCCUCUUGCCGCCCGUCGACAUGACCUUCGAUCUUGUUGUGUUGAUCAUGGGGACCAUUCCAUUUGAAGAGGCUCAUGCUGCCCGGAUUUUGUUAAGCAAGCCAUCUAUGUCCCAAAGUUGAGGACCGUUUGGAGAAGAGGCCACCCAGACAAUUUAAACAGAUGCAGGAUAUGAUUAGGCGCACAUAUACAAGUAUCUUUAUGACGACACCUGCACCAGUUUUCAUCGUUGUUGUUCUUGCCUGUUGCCUCCCCCCCUAUCGCUUCGCUAGCGGCGCAAGUAGAGAGAGGAUGUUUGCCUACUACUACUCCCAUCAUCCUGGCUUACAGGUCGCCUUCGUCACAGAGCCGGACGGGGUAUCCCGCCAUGCCUCACGUAGCUUGCAGGCCAGGCUGCUGCCAAAUUAGCCUUCCCUAGCUAUAAGGGUUUCGGUACUUUCAGCUCCUGCGGGUCAUCAUAUUGUUAAUGUGUCAAAGUAAAGAGAAAAAUGAUGCAUUGAAUUACUAAUAAAGUGGUUUGGAUGAGAUCAGAAACCUCUCACUUUUAAUGUUGGAGAUCGUUAUGAACCGAGUGUUUUAGAGAAAUUCAGUUCACAUGAAGCAAGAGAAAGGCAUGUAGCAUACAUUGAGUGAUUAUUAACCCAUUGUGAUACUGAGAAAUUGAUAAAGGAUAUAUUUAUUAACUUGAAUGUUUGACGUGGA